rnacentral:rRNA from 1 species
GACGUAGGAUGCAAGCGUUGUCCGGAUUUAUUGGGCGUAAAGAGUUCGUAGGCGGUUUGUUAAGUUUGAUGUUAAAGAUCAAGGCUCAACCUUGGGAGUGCAUUGAAUACUGGCAGACUUGAGUGCAGUAGAGGCGAGUGGAAUUCUCGGUGUAGCGGUGAAAUGCGUAGAUAUUGGGAAGAACACCGGUGGCGCAGGCGGCUCGCUGGGCUGUAACUGACGCUGAGGAACGAAAGCUAGGGGAGCAAAUGGG